rnacentral:lncRNA from 1 species
GGUUCGAGACUUUAUGCUAGCUUAUGGGUUUAUUUUUUUUUCCUUUAAACGUGGGUGGUUCAUUAGUAGAAGUGGGGUCAAGUUAGAAUUCUGUUUAGUGGGAGGUGGUUAGAAGUGGGAUGUUAUUUUGAUCUUAAAACCCCUCACCUUUAUUCCAUUUUUUUCUCACGUUCGUUUUUCUUCUUUAUUGCUGUUGUUCUGUUGACUUCUUUUCUCUCAAAAUUUCUUUUUCGAUUUUGAUUUUAGGAUUUUAUCUUGUGCGACACCAAGACUCCUCAUAGCCUUUACACUUUAUUUCUUGUUAUGUUAUUUUCCUUUGAUGGUGGUUUUAUAGUGUAAGGUAAGGUUUAAGUUCUGUUUUUUCUUUAUUGUAUUUUAGGGGUUGUUCUUUUGAUGGAUUUUGGCGAUAGUGUGGGUCGGGAAUUCAAUUUCUAUGAGUGUGUUGUUUAGGAGGGGAUCGUGUGACAUUGAAUUCUUCAACGAGUUAAAGUUGUUCAAGUUGUUGUUUCAACAGGUGGUAAGUGAU